GAAACGGGCUGGCGGAUGCCGGGCAGGACGCGGCGGCUGGCAGCCUGCCCUGGCCGCCCGCCCGAUUCCCCCGCCCGGCGGCAGCGGCGGGCGCCCCGCCGGAGCCACUUCUAAACGCUUGCCAAAAAUGCACAACUUUGCAACCCUUUGUUAACAGGCACUGAAGCUGUUCCAGUGUGGACCACAUCAUCUAUCUAUGUAAAAAUCUAGACUGACCUGCUGCUUCUUUGAGAGAAGGAUCAGGAUACAUUCAUUUGGAAACACUGGCUGAAAAGUGCUACCAGCAAAAAUGUCUGAAACAUCAUCAUUUUCAUUUUCUUCUGAUGUCACUGA